AACGAACGCUGGCGGCAUGCCUAACACAUGCAAGUCGAACGAGACCUUCGGGUCUAGUGGCGCACGGGUGCGUAACGCGUGGGAACCUGCCCUUAGGUUCGGAAUAACUCCCCGAAAGGGGUGCUAAUACCGGAUAAUGUCUUCGGACCAAAGAUUUAUCGCCUUUGGAUGGGCCCGCGUUGGAUUAGCUAGUUGGUAGGGUAAAAGCCUACCAAGGCGACGAUCCAUAGCUGGUCUGAGAGGAUGAUCAGCCACACUGGGACUGAGACACGGCCCAGACUCCUACGGGAAGCAGCAGUGGGGAAUAUUGGACAAUGGGCGAAAGCCUGAUCCAGCAAUGCCGCGUGAGUGAUGAAGGCCUUAGGGUUGUAAAGCUCUUUUACACGGGAUGAUAAUGACAGUACCGGGAGAAUAAGCUCCGGCUAACUCCGUG
rnacentral:rRNA from 1 species